rnacentral:rRNA from 1 species
UACGAAGGGCGCAAACGUUGCUCGGAAUUAUUGGGCGUAAAGCGCACGUAGGCGGCAUUGCAAGUCGGAUGUGAAAUCUUAUGGCUUAACCAUAAAAGUGCAUCCGAAACUGCAGUGCUUGAGUACUUAAGAGGAUCGCGGAAUUCCCGGUGUAGAGGUGAAAUUCGUAGAUAUCGGGAGGAACACCAGUGGCGAAGGCGGCGAUCUGGGAAGAUACUGACGCUGAGGUGCGAAAGCGUGGGGAGCAAACAGG